AAUUGUUUUUAAGCUGCCAAAUCCCCAAAGAAAAAGCCAGGUCUGAAAUGGAAGAAUGAAGUACGGAGCCGAUGAAUGAUAACGUAAGCCAGGGAGGGAAAGAGCUGGCGGGCUCCCAUUCCCCAAGCUCCAGGCGCCGCUCUUCCUCGUAGGGGCGCUAAGGACGACCUCAGGGUCGGGAGUGGGGCUUGGGGCCCAGGUCCUCUCGGUACCAUCUGGCCAUCGCCGCAAAGGCCUUCGAGUUGAGGCCCUUGCCGGGAGCCCCCCAAGGCUGGUCCGGAGUGGGGCCCCGUGCUCCUCCACUCUCGGCAGCAGCCUCCACCCUCCGUGGGGGCUCCGGCUGACCCUCAGCCCUUCCUUGGCACGGGCAGCACAAAGCCGCGCCGCGGGCACUCCGGGAGCCCCACGCCCACCCAGGGGCGGCGGAGUCUGCAGGCACCCCACGCGGCGGGGCGCCCAGGGGUGACGGCCGGAGUCAGAGACCGCUCCUCUGCCGGGCUCAGCACCCCACGUGUAAAGCGGGCACAGACGGCUUUGUGGUGAACGUGGGAGGCCCUGCCACGGGCAUUCCAGUGGCCACGGGGAGCCGGGCGCGAGGAAUCCCCGCGGCAAGGGGGCCGGGGACGGUGGGCGGGGGCGCUGCAGUCCCCGCGGGGAGCGGGCGCGGCAGGAGAGCGCAGGGGGCGCGGUCGCCGGGGCCUCAGCGGCCGGGGAUGGCCCGCCAGCUCCACCGCGCGGCGGGACCGGGCUCGCCGAGCCCGCCCAAAGGGGGCGCGGGAUUCUGGCGGGAUUGCAGACGCCCCACCACCAGCAAACACCAACCAGACGACGACAGGUAUUUACGUACGAGGGGAGCAGCUGAGGACACCGGCGCUGGAUGAACUAAUACGAUAUCAAUAAAGUAACGGCAGCUAACAUUUAUUGAACGUUUGCUACAAGCCAAACAUGGUACUUAACACGCUCUAAUCAUUUUCUCAUUUAAAUUCUUAAUAAUUUUCGAAGCGGGUACUAUUACUCCCAUCUCACAGAUGAGGAAACUGGGGUUUAGAGAGUCUGAGCCACUUGUCCAAGUCGACUUUUGCUGGAGAGAGCUAACCCACCACAGCCCCCAAAGUUGCAUGACUACAGACUUGGAAAUGUGGAGAGAAGGUCUCAGUUUGCUGUGGAACUGAAAUCAUCAGGGCUUCAGGGGCCUGUCCAACCCCCAGUGUGUGGCUAACUCCUCUGUCCCUGCUCCAACCAGUGGCCUCUCCCUCUCCAUCUAUUUUAAAGAAGAAUGGUGUCCAUGGCUACGAAGGUCAGAAGGCAAAGGACAGAACCUGAAAUGCUUCUCUGAUGGCUAGGAACCUUGGCAGAAAAAGGUACCUUGAGGCCUGAAAUCAGAGACUGGGGAGAGUUGGGUAGUAAGGAGCUUCCUGGAAAGAUGAAGAGUACGGAGUUAUAGAAGGCUUGGCUUCCAGGCCUGGUCUGAUUCCAGACUGCUCUGUGGUCUUGGGCAAGUCCCUUCUCUUCUCCGGGCCUGUUUCCUUCCUGCACAUGGAAGGAUUCUUCUAGAUCCAAAAAUCUCUUUUCUUCCCCUAACUUCCCCUUUUCCCUUCCUAUACCACCCCUACCCAGACUGGCUCAGACAUUCCAGAAUUACCCUUGAACUGAGUGUUAAAAGCCCCAGGUAAGAGUUCCAACCCAUCUCUGAGUUCCUCCUGAGCUCUGGUCCCAGGGCUUUAAGUCCUGGCAGGGUAUCUAUCUAGCCUUGGCAGGUUGAAGCCAUCAGAGGGGAGAAGGGUCCUCUCCCCUGUGCCUCUGAGAAAGGCCUCAGGGGCUGGCAUUGUGAUGACCUCAUCCAUUCUAUGACAUCAUCCUCUCUCCUAUCCCCCCUCCUCCCUGAUCAACUGCUCUGCAAACAACAAUCGAUCCAUACCCCAAAGGCCUGAGAACAUCUGUUCUCCAGCACCUGCUGCUGGUCUUCUGCCUCAGCCAGCAAGAAGCACCAUGAAAUUGGAAUUCACGGAGAAAAACUAUAACAGCUUUGUGUUGCAGAAUCUGAACAAACAGAGGAAACGCAAAGAGUACUGGGAUGUGGCCCUGACUGUGGACCACCAUGUCUUCUUUGCGCAUCGCAAUGUGCUGGCUGCUGUCUCUCCGCUGGUGAAGAACCUUAUCUCCAGCAAUGACAUGAAGACCACCGAUGAGCUCUUUAUCACCAUCGACCCCAACUACCUCAGCCCAGCCACGGUGGACCAGCUCCUGGACUACUUCUACAGCGGCAAGGUGGUGAUCUCGGAGCAGAACGUGGAGGAGCUCCUUCGCGGGGCCCAGUAUUUCAACACACCACGCCUUCGAAUCCACUGCAAUGACUUCCUGAUUAAGUCCAUCCGCCGUGCGAACUGCUUGCGCUACCUCUUCUUGGCUGAGUUGUUUGAGCUCAAAGAGGUCUCAGACUUGGCCUACUCUGGCAUUCGUGACAACUUCCACUACUGGGCCAGUCCAGAGGGCUGUAUGCACUUCAUGCGCUGUCCACCUGUCAUCUUUGGCCGCCUGCUCCGAGAUGAAAACUUGCAUGUGCUCAAUGAGGACCAGGCUCUCAGCGCACUCAUCAAUUGGGUGUACUUCCGGAAGGAUGAGCGGGAGAAGUAUUUCAAGAAGUUCUUCAACCACAUCAAUCUUAAUGCCGUCUCCAACAAGACACUGAUGUUUGCCAGCAACAAGUUGAUGGGCAUGGAGAACAGCUCAGCCCAUGCGACCCUGAUUGAGAGUGUCCUCAUGGACCGAAAGCAGGAGAGGCCAUCCAGCUUGCUGAGCUACCAGCGGAAAGGGGCCCUGCUUGAUUCGGUGGUCAUCCUUGGUGGCCAAAAGGCCCACGGCAAGUUCAAUGAUGGAGUGUUUGCCUACAUCAUCCAGGAGAACCUGUGGUUGAAGCUGUCGGAGAUGCCCUAUCGGGCGGCAGCACUUAGUGCCACCUCUGCUGGCCGCUACAUCUACAUCUCCGGUGGCACCACUGAGCAGAUUUCGGGGCUGAAGACCGCUUGGCGGUAUGACAUGGAUGACAACUCCUGGACCAAGUUGCCAGACCUGCCUAUUGGGCUUGUCUUCCACACCAUGGUGACCUGCGGGGGGACAGUGUACUCAGUGGGUGGGAGCAUUGCUCCGAGGCGGUAUGUCUCCAACAUCUAUCGCUAUGAUGAGCGCAAGGAGGCCUGGUGCCUGGCAGGGAAGAUGAGCAUCCCUAUGGAUGGCACGGCCGUGAUCACCAAGGGUGACCGGAACCUGUACAUCGUCACGGGACGGUGCUUGGUGAAGGGCUAUAUUUCCCGGGUUGGAGUCGUGGACUGCUUUGACACCAACACUGGCGAUGUGGUCCAGUGUAUCACCUUCCCCAUCGAGUUCAACCACCGGCCCCUGCUCUCUUUCCAUCAGGACAACAUCCUCUGCGUACACAGCCACCGGCAGAGUGUGGAAAUCAACCUGCAGAAGAUAAAGGCCAACAAGACGACCACCUCGGUGCCUCUCUUGCCCAACAACUGCCCCUUGGAUGUGUCCCAUGCUAUAUGCUCCAUUGGAGACAGCAGAGUGUUUGUAUGUGGGGGCGUCACCACAGCCAGCGAUGUCCAGACAAAGGACUACACCAUCAACCCAAACGCCUACUUGUUGGACCAAAAGACAGGCGAGUGGAAGACCCUGGCCCCCCCACCAGAGGCACUGGACUGUCCUGCCUGCUGUCUAGCCAAGCUACCUUGCAAGAUUCUUCAAAGGAUUUAAACAACUUUUUAAGUGGGAGAAUAACUGUGGUCCAGAAGCAGAUGGUCCUGCUUCUGACGUACCCUCGGAAGGCCGGGAGUAGCCCUACACUGUGUCACAGCGUCAUUCACUCCACUUCAUCUCAGCAUGUUGGCCUGUUCCCAUCUCACACCGUUACAAGAAGGAUCUCCAGAGAAAGAGAGGUCAAAUGAUCUGAGCUCCACGAACAAUCCCACACCGGCCAAAACUCUCUCCAGAACAUCUGCAGCUUUCCUGCCUCUCAGAGGAAGCGGUGUCCUUCGACCAUUCGACAGCGAUCCCCCUCCCCCGGCUCUCCAUUUUGUCACCUCACAGCUUCUCAGGAACCUCAAUUCCUUCUCUCUGUACAUCCCCUUCCUGAUUUUUUCUCUUUAUUCCAUAAAUAUUCUCAAGUCUCUCUUUUUCUGGAAACAAACCCUCGUCAGCCCCGAGGCCCACCUCUCUCUCUCUGCCCAUCUUUUUCCUCAGCUGAGCGCCCUCAAUGUCUCUGCUCUCUGGUUCCAUCUGUCAUUUCCAGAUCAAUCUAUAAACGACUCAGUCUGUCUUCUGUUCCUACCAUACUACCAGACUGUCUCCUGACAACAUUGUCUUCUUUGUCCUUUUCUCCAUCGAUUCUUUCCCUUACGGUACUGGACGGUGUUGACCUCUCCCGCCUGCAGCAGAAUCACUAAAAGGGAGAUCUUUGGCAUGGUAGGAUUAUAAUUUGAUACAUUAACUCAUGUUAUCCUUCCUUCCUCGUCUUCCUUCCUUCCUAAGCUCUUCCCACAUUAAAAUUAGACCAUAAGGCUGAAACAUUCGAGGCUACCAGCUUGCGGAGGCUGGCAGAGCCGAAUGCAGGACUCAGAGUCAAAAUCUUGGCUUUAGCUGCAAGAGAAGCUUUAGCGUUUCAUAGCGGAGAUUGUGGUCUUGUAAGACAAGGCUUUUGAACUACAACUCAGGUCUUCAAACUCAGGAACGUGAAGUCUUCCCAAGGGAGAUUCAGACAUGCACAGUUUUUAGGGAAUCAGUUUCCAGAUCUUCAACUUUUUUCCUAAAAUCAAUCUAUCUGAGAAUACACCUGUGGUGAUUUCCUUCUAGCUCUCUUUUCCCACCUUCCCUUUCAAAAUUAUUCUUCAAACACCUUACACACACACACACACACACACACACACACACACACACACACACAGAGCAACCUUUACCCAUUCCACUUCUUCCUGGGAUGUCAGUGAAGCCUCCUUUCAUCAAGACACCAAUAUGCAAAGAAGAGUUUGUUGUAUUUUUCUGUCUUAUUUAUACAGUAUUUCUGUUAAGGUGUGAGUCUGGUGUUAAAAACUGGGGUACUUUGGUCCAAGUUAGUCUGGAAAUAUCAAGUAGCAUGAUGGAGUGAUGACAUAUUUUGAAAAGCUUUAUUGAGGUAUAAUUCACCUGCCAUACAAGUCAAUGGCUCUUAGUAUAUUCACAGUUGUACGACCGUUAUCACAAUCAAUUUUAUAACAUUCUCAUUACCCCAAAAAGAAACCUUGAACUUGUUAGUUGUCACUCUCUAACUCCCUUAUCUUCCCAGCCGUAGGCAACCACUGGUCUGCUUUCUGUGUCUGUGGAUUAGCCUCCAAGACGUUUCAUAUGAACGCAGUCCUACAAUGUGACUGUGGAACUGGCUUCUUUCACCUAGCAUAGUAUUUGCAAGGUUCACCUAGGUCGGAGCAUAUGCCGGUGCUUCAUUCCUUUUUAUGGCUGAAUAUAUUCUACUGUAAGAAUAUACCACAUUUUAUUCAUUUAUCAGUUAACUGAUGGACAUCUGUGUCGUUUCCACGUCUUAGCUGGUAUGACUAAUGCUCUAUGAACAUUCAUAUACCACUUUUUUUUUAAAAGAUUUUAUUUAUUUAUUCAACAGAGAUACAGACAGCCAGCGAGAGAGGGAACACAAGCAGGGGGAGUGGGAGAGG